rnacentral:lncRNA from 1 species
GAAAGCACCAUGAGAAGAUGACGGCAGAGAUCUGGGCGACGCGUCUACAAGCCAAGCGACACCAAAGGUGGCCAGCAGCCCAUGUGAAGCUGGAGGAGAGGCCUCGAAUAAAUGCUCCCUUACAGCGUUCAGGGGGAACUGACCCUGUCCACACCUUGACCUUGAACUUCUGGGCUCCAGAACUGUGAGACAGCAUGUUCUGUUGUUGAAGGAGCAGCGUGGCUAGAGGAAUUCCUGCAGCUUAGAUUUCGCUGGCACUGUUACCACUCCCAGAGAGGAGCGGCUGGAGUUCACGGCUGGUUCCUGACAAACUUCCUAAUUAAUCUGCUAAAGAUCAGAGGAGGACUAAUAGGAGCUGAAGACUGUGUGCGAGACCACCCCUCCGCCCUCUCCCUUUGUGUGUGCACGUGUGUGUGUGUGUGUGUGUGAGCGCGUGCGCGCAUGUGGUGCUGAGCUUGGCGGGAGAGAGAUGGCCUCACCAGCGACAAAGCAUUCCUGCUGCUGUUGCUGCCACCUACCUUCCCUGCUUUGGGAGGAUACAUUUUCUCCUCUUGCUUAGAAGUUUCAGGGAGUCACCCAAGCCUUCUUCUCCCAGAUACAACGGUGGAAUAAAAUAUCUUCCAGCCAACAUAUUUUUUGGAGACGGAAUCUCACUCUGUCACCUGGUUGAAGUGCAGCAGCGCGAUCAUGGCUCACUGCAACCUCUGCCUCCCGGUUUCAAGUGAUUCUCCUGCCUCCGCCUCCCGAGUAGCUGGGAUUACAGGCAUGUGCCACCCACCACGCCUGGGUAAUUUUUGUAUUUUUACUAGAGACAGGGUUUCACUAUGUGGGCUGGGCUGGUCUCAAACUCCUGACCUCUGGUGAUCUGCCCACUUCGGCCUCUCAAAGUGCUGGGAUUACAGGCAUGAGCCCCCGCACCCGGUUGCAACCAACUUUUUUGUGGAAUAUAGGAUCUUGAUGUUUGGAUGCCUGAAGGCAGAAGCUGUUGCACAUGGAAUGGAUUAAAGUUUUCCCCUCUGCAACCAAAAAUCCUUGGGGUCCCAGGAGCAAAAGAUGCUCCAUGGCACAGGACAAUUCAAGAAGGCCCGAGGUGAUAUUGAAGACUGCAGAGACAUCCAGCUCAGUUGUGUCUCCGGAGGUGUCCAGACUUUGCAGACAGACGUUGCACAUAAAGAGCUGAAAAACUGAGGAAGCUGAGCUGGAGAAGGAAGUCACUUCUACUCAGACUUGACCUGCGUCUGAUGCUAUGGGGCCUCUUAGGGUUACCUCAUGCUUCAUGCACCCCUUUCUCUGUUCUUCAGCAGAAGGCAGGGUGUAGGGAAGCGGGACUGUGCCUCCUUUCUCCCUGCCAGGCCUGACUCUCCAGGCCAAGAGACACCAUUAAGGAGUAUAAUUUGUUGAUCCAGGCUCUCCUUGCGUUUCAGUGCAGAGUGGCAUCGUUUUCUUUAUGACCUCGUAAAGUCACAGCCGAGAGGCCGAUUUGGAAAACAAACUGCCUCAGGUUGACAGAUAAUUAGAUACAGGGGACAUAUUAUAUGCCUUUGCAUAUAAAUGUGCUCCGAGGCGUGUUGGUUCAUCUGAAGUUGAGGUUAAAGGCGCGCCAGGUAUUCCUGACACAUCAGGAUAUAUAUUUUCAUACAGUCUCAGGUGCUGUGUUGGUUUUAUAGGCCUUUCAUCCUGGUGCUGACGGAUGGGGUGUGAUUGUGACCCAACUUAGAAGAAAGGGACUUCCCUUGCCCAGGGGCCUCCUGGCGUUUUUGUUUUGUGUUCUCCCUCUCCACCCCCACUUUCUCUUCUUCCUUGGGAAGGGAACUGUUCUUUGGACCUAGGAUUCUGCCGUGAGUGACUAAUGGCCUGAGUAGGAGGGACCGGGACUCAUUUUUCUUUUCUGGACUCUAAUAGGCCCAAUUAAUUCAGCUACAACAUGGGCCCUUACAAGCCUGGGACAAGCCUGGGUGGAAUUCUAUAUUGAGGGUAAGAAAAGGGAUGGAAGUAGAUGUUUUCCAGAAGGUUCUGUGGACUCUGGGGGUGACCUGUGGACAGCUGCUGCUGCCCACUACCUGGCAGUUUGGCUAUGUGAUACAUGUCAGCCUUACAAGGAGAUCCCCCUUACCCUGGAAUCUACUUUGGGGGAGCAGAACUUGAGCCUCAGGCAAAUCAGAGACGAGGGGGAAACUUUGCUUUUUCCUCCAGUGGCAGGGAGCUCUGGGCUGGGGAAAUGUCUUUUUGAACACAAAGUUCCAGUUGCAUUCAUCCACAGGAAAAUGUAAAGAGCUUAAUUUAAUGCCCUCUGGGAGUCAUUUCGAUUUAAAAGUGGUAUUAUAGCUUGUGGCUAGAAGAAUGGGCUUAACGGUUAGUCACCUUCUGUUUGGGCAUGUCAUUUAAUCUCUUUGAGGCUGUUUCUUCAUCUUAAAAUAUGAGUGAGAAGGUAGUACCCACCUUACAAUGUGGACAAGAUUAAUUUAGGGAAAACACGUAGCACAGGGCUUCACCCAUGGUAAGUAUUUCAUAAACGGUAACUAUUUUUAACAAUGACAAUUCACAGAGUUAAUCCUAAUAAAAAAUGAUUACAGAAGAGGACGCCUCCACCCACAGGAAGGAGCCAGCACGGUGGGGAGCUGUUUCACCAGGGGAGUGUUCUCAGCAGCUGCCACACGUGGAGUUGUGGAGGGAAAGGUAAGAAACCCCAUAGCCCGACCCUCAGCCCUGUUGAAGGAGAUUAUAUAAAUAGAGUCGCUGUCACUUUGAUGAAUUAAAUCCUCCGUUAAUUAGGACGCAUCCAUUUAAGGGUUGUCCAGCCAGAUAGUCCUUUUCCCUUCCCAGCAAGUCAUAGCUCAGGGAGGAGGCAUGAGAGGGAUCGUUUUCUGUUUCUGGCUUGAUUGCUGGUUUCUUUCUUACUAGGCUUCAUUAAUUAUCCUGGAAUGUGGUCACCCAGUUUUCUUCAACAUGGGCCAUUCUCCUUUUAGCAGGAUCUUGGCAGUGGACUGCCACGGGAGCUCUGGGGAAAAAGGACCAGUUGGACUCCAGUACCUCCUGAGAGACCACCACCCUCCAUGCCUCCAGCUCAUGCCCAGCUCUGAGUCAGACGGACUCUUCCUGUUGUACUGCGAGGUUCUGCAAACCUUGAAGGGCAAACACAGUGAGGGUCUCUGACUUGCUGUGUGGACAGCCCACUCUCUGACAGCCCAGAUCAUCUGAAGCUAUCCCUGGGCUGGGAGCUGGAAGCCAUUCUUGUGAACCACUCCUUAUACCUUGAGCGAAGCCUCUUUGGGUCCCAGAAGUCUGAAGCUCCAGCUGCCUGGCAAGACUGAGUCUAGAUGAUUUCUUGGGUACCAGUAGUUUGGCAUUUAAAAAUACUGGAUUAACUGCAGUGUAAACUUAGAUUGCAUUUCAGAUUGUAAACAAUAACCCCCGUGCUUCAUGUGAUGUUAAAUCAGAAAUGAGCUAUUAGCCAAGCUAGUCCUCUUAUGAAUGAGCCCCUAACCCUGAUCCAGGGAUCGUUGAAUGAAAAUCAUCAAAAUGAUUUAUCUUCACUUUACCUAUUGUCUCACAAGAAUCUCAUCACUCAGGGAAAAGGAGGGUGUUCUUCAGGGAACGGAGGGCAUGAGGAAGGGGGAUUUCCUUAUAUCUCAACUUUCAGAGGGAGCUGAGUUGUAAACAGAUGGAACAAGGUGUGUACGAGAAGCCUCUUAGAUUUAGUCUUUCAUAUCAAGGCUCUUGCUGAAAAUCCUGGCACAGCUGUGAAAUGAGGGGAGCUCUGACACACAGAGACACGCUCCUUGCCUCACCAACCUUCCCAUACACAGUCAUGCGCACAGAGAGCAGGUACCAAUACUGAAAAUGCCCUUCCGGAGUUUCCUCAGCUUAAACCCUUGACAGCAUUAAGUGAGGAAGGAGUUUCCUUGACCUGGGGAAGAAGAACCAACUCAUAAACAUGGAACUGUGCCCACUGCCUUUUCCUUUGCUCUGUGGAUUGGCUGUGGUUCUGCCCUGGCACUCGGAUGUCAAGUUGCUCUGGCUGUUUGGGAGGAAGCCCAGCCUGGGUCAGGUGGUCAUAAGCCAGAGGCCCUGUCCUGUCCCCAGGGUUGGCCUCCCUCUGGGGUCCAGCAUGGCCCCAGUGCUGAGGCUCCCACUGCUGGGGAAUGUGCCCUCUCCUCUCUUUGUUUCCAUACCAAGGGGAUCUGCAGGGUAGAGGGCAAAUUAUUCUUAGCAGAUUGGGGCUAUGGGUAAACCAGAAGGGAUGAGGGAGAGAGGAGAGAGGAGAGGAAAGGGAAGGAGAGGGGAGGGCAGGGGAUAGGUAGAGGAGAGAGACAGCAAGAAAAAAUAGAAAAAAAAAAAAAGGAAAUAAAGGUUGCAUAUACAAAGGGAGAUUAACAAGGAGUAGAAGAAGGGAGGCAGAAGAGGGAGAAACAGAGAAGAGGAACAAAGAAGACAUUUCCAAAAAAGACGUGAGCACACCAGGCAGGAGGGAGAAAAGGAACAAGGAGAAAGGAAGGAAGUGAGACAAGCUGGGGAGAGAAGAGGCAAAGGCAGCCAGGAGCAGGCAUAGGGGAGAGAGGAGUGGGAAGCCCCAGGGGGUACAAGGAAAAAAAUGAGGGAAGCCAGUGGGAGGAAGGUGAGGAAGAGGAGAGGGAACAGGCACUGGGUGGGGAAGAGGCGAGCAGGAGAAAGCCUGUGCUGUGUGGAUUAUUGUGUGUUUGUCAUCUGGAAUGGUAUAAGCUGUAGGUACAGCAGCUCCCGCCCAUGAUUUAUGGUCCCUGUCAGGCAGGGACCGCGCUUUGUCUGCUGUAGCGUGGACGAUGAAUGCUCCGCUGUCAUCCCAGCCUGGCCGGCCUUUCUCUCUCUCUGCUCCCAACGCUGGCUCCCCAUUUCACGCCAGUGAACAUAAGCAAUCUUUUGUAAACCUGACAGUCACACUUGCUUCUUUGGAAACAUAAAGCAGAAAUGUAUGACUCGGCUUUCAUUACCCAAUUUCCUACGCUAUAUAAAAACACUCAGGAAAGACAUGUAAGUGGUCACGAAACCUGGGAAAUUGGAAGUGUCCUGGAGGAAAAAAAAAGGAAGAGUGGGGAGAAGGGGGCUGUAGGGUGGGAGGGAGCCGGUGAGGAGAGGAGACGAUGUGUCUAACUCCACCACAUCCUUCCCAGAAAACGCCGGCUGAUAAACGGGCCAUGCAGACACAUAAUUAUAUUACAUAUCUGAAUAAUAGACAUUUCCUGCCUGAAGUGUUGCUUUUUUUCCUCCUUCUCCUUUUAAC